GAUAGGAAUUCCUGGUGUAGCGGUGGAAUGCGCAGAUAUCAGGAGGAACACCGAUGGCGAAGGCAGAUCUCUGGGCCGUAACUGACGCUGAGGAGCGAAAGCAUGGGGAGCGAACAGGAUUAGAUACCCUGGUAGUCCAUGCCGUAAACGUUGGGCGCUAGAUGUAGGGACCUUUCCACGGUUUCUGUGUCGUAGCUAACGCAUUAAGCGCCCCGCCUGGGGAGUACGGCCGCAAGGCUAAAACUCAAAGGAAUUGACGGGGGCCCGCACAAGCGGCGGAGCAUGCGGAUUAAUUCGAUGCAACGCGAAGAACCUUACCAAGGCUUGACAUACACCGGAAACGGCCAGAGAUGGUCGCCCCCUUGUGGUCGGUGUACAGGUGGUGCAUGGUUGUCGUCAGCUCGUGUCGUGAGAUGUUGGGUUAAGUCCCGCAACGAGCGCAACCCUCGUUCUAUGUUGCCAGCGGGUUAUGCCGGGGACUCAUAGGAGACUGCCGGGGUCAACUCGGAGGAAGGUGGGGAUGACGUCAAAUCAUCAUGCCCCUUAUGUCUUGGGCUUCACGCAUGCUACAAUGGCCGGUACAAAGGGCUGCGAUACCGUAAGGUGGAGCGAAUCCCAAAAAACCGGUCUCAGUUCGGAUUGAGGUCUGCAACUCGACCUCAUGAAGUCGGAGUCGCU
rnacentral:rRNA from 2 species